UCCGGCCAGGCGGCCAAUGGAAGGCGCCCGUACAACCUUCUGGCCAAUAAGGCCUCCGCUCUUAUCGCGAAGUCCUUUCAACGCCCUGUUUCCUCUCUCGGGUUUCCUCCCUCCCCCGCUUAGGAGGGGGAAAGAGGAAAGGGGGAGUGUGGCGGGGCGGGUGAUAAUGGGGAGGUAUCAGGGCAUAUAAUAGAGCUGGGGGUGGGCGAAGAGAGCGCCAGUGCGUAGCGACGAUUCUGGGAGAGGAGGUGCUCGGAGGAAAGGGCGGGGGUUGCUGAUGUAAUGGGGAGAAGUGGUUAAUCCUUCAUUUCACCGUUUCAGCCUCCCCCCCACCCCAAUCUUCACCCGAUUUUUUGAGCUGAAAAAAAGUGGAACGAGGGAGCCAAUCUGGUCCCACAAACUCCAAGGAAAACAAAAACCCUCAAGAGGAAUUACCUUUCUAUCUGAUGCCCCCAACAUAAUCUCUCUCCAAGGAAAACUUGUUUUUAUUCCCUUGCUACUGUUAACGAUGACUGAAAAUGUACUGUUUAUUGGUUCUCCAUCUUCUCUCUUUUGUUUUGCAUUUUUUGGAUGUGGUAAAACUGGCAGUUGGUUUUCAGAACUUUGGGUGAUGUCUCUGGUUCGAGUGUCAUCAGUUGCUGUCUUGGUUUGACAUCGAUAAUUAAGCAACUACAAAGCAUGAUAAGGGAAAGCUGAGAGGGAGGAAAGUAUAUUUUGGGAGGAGGGAGAGACGCAAAGAGGCAGGCCUGUAUUGUGCAGUGUGUUGAGUCCCAGCCUUGGUGUGUGACUACAGGCAAAGUACUUCACCUUUCUAGAUAUCAGGUCCCCCCUCACCUCCCGAGUUUAAAUAAGUACUUAUUUUAGACCACAUGAUCUUGUUUUCAGUUUUUAAGGGUUCUGUUAUUUUGAGAUGAUCUCUCUUUAGUCCAGAAAAAUAGAGAAACAUAGAUCUAUGUUUGUUUCUCAAAAAAAAUUUGAGGAGGACAGCUGUCAAAAACAGCUGGAGAACUUCAAAUUUUUAUGGUUGUUAGCUAGGUGCAAAUGGGUACAAUUUUAGGUUUGUUCAAAUAAACAUAGGGGAGAAGUAAAAGUACAGGAGAAUUACAUGAUAAUAUACAUAAGUGUGUCCAUAAUUUUUUAUUUUUCUAAAAAUUUACUUUUUAAUUUAACAAGUACUUAUUGGCUCCUUCCAUGUAUGCAUUAAUAUGUAUGUAAGGUGUUAUGGGAAAUACUAAUAGAAGAAAAAUAUUGGGAAUAAAGAGUUUGUAUUUUGGUGUAGCAGAGUUGAAGGUUUACUUAAUUCAGAUGUAAAGAAAAUGUAACUUGUUUAUUUUCUGUAAUUUUAACUUUAAGUCCCCAUAUUGUCUCAAUUAAAAAAA